rnacentral:tRNA from 1 species
GGAAUUGUGGCUCAGUGGUAGAGCACUUGCCUGGCAUGUAUGAGGCCCUGGGUUCAAUCCUCAGCACCA